rnacentral:rRNA from 1 species
GACGAACGCUGGCGGCGUGCCUAACACAUGCAAGUCGAGCGAGUGAAUCUCCUUCGGGAGUGAAGCUAGCGGCGGACGGGUGAGUAACACGUGGGCAGCCUGCCUCAUAGAGGGGAAUAGCCUUUCGAAAGGAAGAUUAAUACCGCAUAAGAUUGUAGCUUCGCAUGAAGUAGCAAUUAAAGGAGCAAUCCGCUAUGAGAUGGGCCCGCGGCGCAUUAGCUAGUUGGUGAGGUAACGGCUCACCAAGGCGACGAUGCGUAGCCGACCUGAGAGGGUGGUCGGCCACAUUGGGACUGAGACACGGCCCAGACUCCUACGGGAGGCAGCAGUGGGGAAUAUUGCACAAUGGGGGAAACCCUGAUGCAGCAACGCCGCGUGAGUGAUGACGGCCUUCGGGUUGUAAAGCUCUGUCUUCAGGGACGAUAAUGACGGUACCUGAGGAGGAAGCCACGGCUAACUACGUGCCAGCAGCCGCCGUAA